rnacentral:rRNA from 1 species
CCUACGGGAGGCUGCAGUGAGGAAUAUUGGUCAAUGGACGAGAGUCUGAACCAGCCAAGUAGCGUGAAGGAUGACUGCCCUAUGGGUUGUAAACUUCUUUUAUAUGGGAAUAAAGUUCAGUACGUGUGCGGUUUUGUAUGUACCAUAUGAAUAAGGAUCGGCUAACUCCGUGCCAGCAGCCGCGGUAAUACGGAGGAUCCGAGCGUUAUCCGGAUUUAUUGGGUUUAAAGGGAGCGUAGGCGGAGUAUUAAGUCAGUUGUGAAAGUUUGCGGCUCAACCGUAAACUUGCAGUUGAUACUGGCAGUCUUGAGUGCAGUAGAGGUAGGCGGAAUUCGUGGUGUAGCGGUGAAAUGCUUAGAUAUCACGAAGAACUCCGAUUGCGAAGGCAGCUCACUGGACUGCAACUGACGCUGAGGCUCGAAAGUGUGGGUAUCAAACAGGAUUAGAUACCCGAGUAGUC